GACGAACGCUGGCGGCGUGCUUAACACAUGCAAGUCGAACGAUGAAGCUGGAGCUUGCUUUGGUGGAUUAGUGGCGAACGGGUGAGUAACACGUGAGUAACCUGCCCUUCACUCUGGGAUAAGCCUGGGAAACUGGGUCUAAUACUGGAUAUGACUGCGCAUCGCAUGGUGUCGUGGUGGAAAGAUUUUUUGGUGGGGGAUGGACUCGCGGACUAUCAGCUUGUUGGUGGGGUAAUGGCUCACCAAGGCUUUGACGGUUAGCCGGCCUGAGAGGGUGACCGGCCACACUGGGACUGAGACACGGCCCAGACUCCUACGGGAGGCAGCAGUGGGGAAUAUUGCACAAUGGGCGAAAGCCUGAUGCAGCGACGCCGCGUGCGGGAUGAAGGCCUUCGGGUUGUAAACCGCUUUCGUCAGGGACGAAGCCUUUUGGUGACGGUACCUGGAGAAGAAGCACCGGCUAACUACGUGCCAGCAGCCGCCGUAACAC
rnacentral:rRNA from 1 species